rnacentral:rRNA from 1 species
AUGUGCGGCGGCGGAGUGCGGUGCCCGCAGGGGCGGGCGGCGGCGGGCGGUAUGGUCCGGGCGAGGGCGGGUGGCGGCGGCGGCGAUUUGGGGCGGGCGGUCGCGAGCGGGAAGGGUAAUGAACUAGCGCAGCAGCAGCACAGGAGGCUGGAGGGGAAGGUGGCCAUCGUCACCGGCGGGGCGCGCGGGAUCGGGGAGGCGGUCGUACGCGCGUUCGUCAGGCACGGCGCGCGCGUGGUGAUCGCCGACAUCGACGACGCGGCGGGCGAGGCGCUGGCGGCCGCGCUGGGCGGGGCCUGCUGCAGCUACGUGCACUGCGACGUCUCGGUGGAGGCCGACGUGGAGCGCGCCGUCGGGUUCUGUGUGGCGCGGCACGGGCGUCUGGACAUCCUAUGCAACAACGCCGGCGUCCUGGGCCGGCAGGCGCCUCCAGCGAGCAACGGCGCCAAGAGCGGCGGCAUCGCGUCCCUGGACGCCGCCGAGUUCGACCGCGUGCUGCGCGUGAACACGCUGGGCGCGGCCCUCGGCAUGAAGCACGCGGCGCGGGCCAUGCUGCAGAGGACAGCGACGCGCGAGGAUAGCUCCGGCGACGUGAAGAUCCGGUUCGUUCCCUACCACGUCUUCGACCAGUACUUCCGCGAGAAGGACGACAAGGGCGCCGGGAUGGGCAAGGGCAGCCAUGGCCCGCGUGAAUGA